CCCUUCCCUUUCUCCUCUCUUGCUUCUCCUCCUCCUCUUCCUUUCCUCAAGUUUACUCAUCUCAUCGCCUCUCCUGUUUUUUCUUCCUGUACUGUUUUGGUCUAGUCUUCUUCACUUCUUCCUCUUAUUUUCCUUUUCUUUCCUAGUUUCGUCUUUCCUCUAUUUUCGUCCUCUUUUCACCACUUCUCCUUCUUACUUUCCAUUCAUUUCCCUUUAACAGAUAUUGGGCUGCAAAGUUAACUCACCGCUCCACGGUGAUGAGCUGCUAGAAAACGGAACAAUGUCGACGUGGGGCGAAUGCGCUGAAUCCCGUUACUGCUGUUUAAAAUGUUAGCAACAUGCUUCUGUUACUAUCUGUGGAAGGUCAGAGGGGUUGCAGGGUCUGGACAUUUUAAGAGCCAGGGCGCAGAAUAGAAAUGGAAACAAAGUCGGAGAAAAAAUUAAAGCGUGAUUAGAAGUGUGUGUGCAUUAGAGAAAAACAAAAUGCAAAGACCAAGAGAUAACUUGUCCUUCUCAUGCUCCUUACUCCCAAUGGAAUCGAAAAAAAGGAAAGGCAAAGAGCCCUCCGUUUGCAGGCUAAACAGAGAAACACUGGUGAUAGUGGCUAACACUCUGAAAGGCUGCCGGCCAGACGGAUUAGAAACCGUCAGCAGCGAGAUCUGACGCAAAGCAAAAGCUCGGCCAACUGAGAUGAAAGGCCGACGGAAGGUUCUUGAACCAAAGAUGUACUUCUGAAUGUUCUGUUUUCAGUACUGCAUGUUCAAGUAUCUUACUCAAGUGCAUCAUAAGAUUAAAGCUGCAUUCACUUCCUGAAAACUUUUGCACCAGUUUCCAACCCAGCAGUUAAAUCCAUGAUGUUUAGGGAAAUGCAGUGCAGCGACAAAAAAGAAGACUAGCAACAGUCAAUCAAAGGGACAUUUUUCUACCAUUUUUUCCUCCGUGAAGAAGUUGAAGCAGGCGGUGAAAUGGAUACACACAUCCGACAGGUGUGCAUCAGCUACACAGAUUCUUUCGUGCCCAGUUAUCUUAAGCUCCUCUUGUGUAUUCUUGACAACCCCGUGGAAAAAUUCAUUCCAGAAGUUGUUUAUAGCGAGCUAUUUGUUCAGUGGGAUCCCAUGCCAAAGUCCCGUGCACAAACAAGCAGCUCUGGUAGCAGGGAGACAUUUGAUAGCUUAACUUACUAAUUAAGGCUUGUUUACAAUCUGCGUGAAGUAGCGAAAAGUGAGUUAAGUGUCUCAUCAACCUGCAUCUUUCAAGGAAGUGC